AUGAAUCAUUUUGUAUCACUGUGGUGGACUUUCGGCAGCGGCACCAGACUGGAAGUUGGCAGCAUCACUCGUCCUAAAGUGAGCGUCCUGCCGCCCUCCAGUGAAGAGAUUUCCACAAAGAACACAGCAACACUGAUGUGUGUGGCCAACAAGGGCUUCCCCUCAGACUGGAGCCUGAGCUGGAAGGUGGACGGGAGCAGCAGGUCUGAGAAGAGCAGUGCUGGGGUCCUGGAGAAGGACGGUCUGUACAGCUGGAGCAGCAGUCUGACUCUCUCUCAGGAGGAGUGGAUGAAGGCGGUCACAGUGAGCUGUGAGGCCAAACAGAAAGACCAGCUGUCAGUCACUGGAGAAGUGAGGAGAGAUCAGUGUUCUGAGUAGAUCCUCUGGAUUCUCUUCUGCUCUUCUCACUCAUGUCUCACAUGGAGACUAACAGUGGCCUUCUAUUCACACAAGUAUAUGUGUGCUUUUGUCUUUCAGUGCUGUUUUCUCUUGUCAUAAUUCAAUAAACAAAUAAAAUAUUCAGUUA